rnacentral:rRNA from 1 species
ACUCCUACGGGAGGCAGCAGUGGGGAAUAUUGGACAAUGGGCGCAAGCCUGAUCCAGCCAUGCCGCGUGAGUGAUGAAGGCCUUAGGGUUGUAAAGCUCUUUUAGCAGGGAAGAUAAUGACGGUACCUGCAGAAAAAGCCCCGGCUAACUUCGUGCCAGCAGCCGCGGUAAUACGAAGGGGGCUAGCGUUGCUCGGAAUUACUGGGCGUAAAGCGCACGUAGGCGGCUUCUUAAGUCGAUGGUGAAAUCCUGGAGCUCAACUCCAGAACUGCCUUCGAAACUGGGAAGCUCGAGUUCGGGAGAGGUGAGUGGAACUGCGAGUGUAGCGGUGAAAUGCGUAGAGAUC